rnacentral:lncRNA from 1 species
GUCGGUGUUGAAGGGAGCUGCAGUGCAUGGUUGACUAUGAGAGCUUCACGACCUUCCUGGGCACAGUGACCACAUCACAGGUACUGGCUGUGUCAAAGGGGUCGUCCAUUCUGAGGAAGGACCUCUUUCUGCUCCGCUGCACUUCCAGAUGUUUGGUUUUGCUCUUUCGUUUCCCUGAUGGUUUCUGGCUCACAGCACAGUUUUGCAGAAGAGAGGCAGGUUGGAAGAUCCCCUCUUUGCCUGUGCUUGGCCCAUCUGUCUUGCAGCUUCCUGCAGUCUUCUGCAGUUUGGCAGCCAAACCUGGGGCAGGAGCGCAGCUGGGCUGAGCCUGAUUGCUGCCAUUUGCACUGGCGGAUGGAAGGCCUUCCAGGGACAGACACUUGGGGAAGAUGGGCAAGGCUUUGCAGCUUUUCUUGGCCUUGGGCCUAAAUUCCACCUGCAGUUCGUCGGCAGGUUCCUCAGCCUGGCUGCCAUGGCGGUGCUCUCUCCCAGCACAGUGCUUGCGCUUCCUGGGCUGACCUGAGCAUGGAUGUGGAGUGAUGUGUUCUGCUGGCCCAUCUGCUGCUGCUUUGUUGGUAGCUGCUGGUGGCUCCAAGAUGGGCAUCACAGCAUUCUCCAUUGUCCUCUUCUUUUGGCUGAGCUGGCUCUGGUCUGCACGCAGCUCAGGGCUCCCAUGUUGGAAUGGGACACAUACGGGAGCAACAGAGAUCACGGUUUGGCUCACCGGUUUAGAUGGAUUCGCUUUGUGCAGGCUAUGGCUGGCACUGCCAGUGGUUGUGGCUCCAAGGCUCAGCUGCAUGAAGCGUCUGCACAGCUCAGGGAUGUCAUCCUGCAGCGUGCCCGAGGUCGGAGCGGUGCCAUCAGUGCCAUGAGCAGUCUCUUGCAGCUGGAAGGCUGGCACAGGCUGGGGGAUGGCUCUCUGUGCCCUUGGCUGGGCUGAGAAAUCUUCUGCCCUCCAGGCAAACAUCGCCCAACGGACGGAUUUCACAAAG